GCAGUGGGGAAUUUUGCGCAAUGGGCGAAAGCCUGACGCAGCAACGCCGCGUGCGGGAUGAAGGCCCUAGGGUUGUAAACCGCUUUCAGCAGGGACGAACGUGACGGUACCUGCAGAAGAAGCCCCGGCUAACUACGUGCCAGCAGCCGCGGUAAUACGUAGGGGGCAAGCGUUAUCCGGAUUCAUUGGGCGUAAAGCGCGCGUAGGCGGCUUGUUAAGUCAGAUGUGAAAACCGGGGGCUCAACCCGCGGCCUGCAUCUGAAACUGGCAGGCUUGAGUCUGGUAGAGGAAAGUGGAAUUCCUGGUGUAGCGGUGAAAUGCGCAGAUAUCAGGAGGAACACCAGUGGCGAAGGCGGCUUUCUGGGCCACGACUGACGCUGAGGCGCGAAAGCUAGGGGAGCGAACAGGAUUAGAUACCCCGGUAGUCC
rnacentral:rRNA from 1 species